rnacentral:rRNA from 1 species
AGGGUUUGAUCAUGGCUCAGAUUGAACGCUGGCGGUAUGCUUAACACAUGCAAGUCGAACGGAAACGAAACUAGCUUGCUAGUAGGCGUCGAGUGGCGGACGGGUGAGUAACGCGUAGGAAUCUGCCUGAUAGUGGGGGAUAGCCCGAAGAAAUUCGGAUUAAUACCGCAUAAUCUAUUCGUAGUAAAGUGGGGGACUUUCGAGCCUCACGCUAUCAGAUGAGCCUGCGUAAGAUUAGCUUGUUGGUAGGGUAAAAGCCUACCAAGGCUACGAUCUUUAGCUGGUCUGAGAGGAUGAUCAGCCACAUCGGGACUGAGACACGGCCCGAACUCCUACGGGAGGCAGCAGUGGGGAAUAUUGGACAAUGGGGGUAACCCUGAUCCAGCAAUACCGCGUGUGUGAAGAAGGCCUGAGGGUUGUAAAGCACUUUCAAUUGUGAAGAAAAGUUAACGGUUAAUAACCGUUAACCUUGACGUUAACUUUAGAAGAAGCACCGGCUAACUCCGUGCCAGCAGCCGCGGUAAUACGGAGGGUGCAAGCGUUAAUCGGAAUUACUGGGCGUAAAGCGUGCGUAGGCGGUUUAUUAAGUCAGAUGUGAAAGCCCCGGGCUUAACCUGGGAACUGCAUUUGAAACUGGUCAACUAGAGUAUGGUAGAGGAAAGUGGAAUUUCUGGUGUAGCG